GGUUAAGCGACUAAGCGUACACGGUGGAUGCCCUGGCAGUCAGAGGCGAUGAAGGACGUGUUAAUCUGCGAUAAGCGUCGGUAAGGUGAUAUGAACCGUUAUAACCGGCGAUUUCCGAAUGGGGAAACCCAGUGUGUUUCGACACACUAUCAUUAACUGAAUCCAUAGGUUAAUGAGGCGAACCGGGG
rnacentral:rRNA from 1 species